UAGCAGCAGCUCCUCUGUGACUCAGUUGUCUUGGCUUCAUCAAAGGAUAAGAAGACUGCUCGCUCCGAUGCUCUGGUUCAACAACAGGGGAGGUGGCCCGUCGCCGCUGAUCCCUCUGCUGACGAUCGUGGUCUUGUGCUUCUUCAUCAAUGGCUUGGGCGUGUUCGAGGCAUUCUCCGGCGCGGGGGAAAGAGGAGGAGGUGAAGACGAAGAGGUAGGCGGAGGCAGCAACAAACUCCUCCUUAUGUUGAUCCCUCUCGUCCUGGUCCUGCUGAUGAUUCAUUACUGUAGUGAGUCGCUCCCUUCUUUCUCGUGGUCCUUUGGAGGCGGGCAAGAAGGCAACUCGAGCUGUGAUGACGAAGGCUACGGUCUUGGAACGAUACUGUUCUUAGUGCUGUUCCUCGUCCUUUAUAACUUUAUGUAGUCAAGCUCCCUCUAUAUAUAGAAUGCAAUAUUCGCAUACUCAAUUCUUGUUUUGUUCGUCAUGUUUGUAGAAUCCCAAGUGUCCUGCAAGAGCUUAUCCAUCCUCAAUUUGUAUAUUUUAUGUAGAAUUGAAAUAUAUGAUUCUUUGUUAUCUGAUACUGUAUCCUUAUUGUCCCCAUACAAACAGUUAUCAGACUAGCUAUCUCCAUCGUAUGGAUGAGUAUACAAUAUACUAAUCUAGCCG
rnacentral:lncRNA from 1 species